UGCCAUAUUAACAAGCGGAGGAAAAGAAACCAACCGGGAUUGCCUCAGUAACGGCGAGUGAAGCGGCAAGAGCUCAAAUUUGAAAGCUGGCUCCUUCGGGGUCCGCAUUGUAAUUUGCAGAGGAUGCUUCGGGUGCGGCCCCUGUCUAAGUGCCCUGGMACGGGCCGUCAGAGAGGGUGAGAAUCCCGUCUGGGAUGGGGUGUCCGCGCCCGUGUGAAGCUCCUUCGACGAGUCGAGUGUAUGGGAAUAG
rnacentral:rRNA from 1 species